rnacentral:lncRNA from 1 species
CUCAUACUCUGCAAGGGGAAAAGGCCUAGUUGACCACCAAGGAAGAGAACGGCAUGGGUCAAGACCUGUGUGACUACUGUAUCUGAGCCGUAAAUUGCACUCUGCACUAUCUGAGAUUGUCUCACUAGUUUUUUUCGGCUUAAUGCCCUAAAAGGUAAUAGCCGAUGUGAUGUCCAGAUGUAGAUGUACUGCAAAAGCUCUCGCUGUGGAGCUUUUGAGGCUGAACACCCCGAGAAGUAUCAAAACCGCUAUUUUAACCCCUAUGAGGUACGACGAGCUCCCCCGUCCUUUUUACAUGGGAAUCCCUCCCCCGGGGUCCCGGGUGUACACAAAUCACUUUUGCGAUUCACUUCUGGGCCCCCAUUUCGUGAGUGACAGACGUUCGAGUCACGUGGUAGGUGCGGCGACUUGACGAGAUACGUGCAAUUCAGCUGUGUUGGUGUUCGAGUCAGCGCGUGGUCGCGGCUGGUUCACAGGUCAAGCGGACUGCAGCAACAUACAGCUUCAGCUGAGGCUGUAAUUUGUGUGCAUUGCAUGUGAGGUGUGCGCUCGUUCGCAAGACGGGUCAAAGACGCGCGCGGCUUCAUGAGAAAUGUGGUGUCCUGCAUGUCGAGGUAAGCUUCUGACAUCGUGUUUGCAUGUGUUGUUAGGGUUAUAAGUGUUUUUAACACGGAAUAAAAGCAAUGUUAAUAAAGCGCGGCUGGACAGCUGGUCUUUCGCGAACCUACUCAAAGUAUAGUGCAGAGGAUAUUUAAGCUUGCCUUCAGAACGUUCUUUUACUCAGAAACCCGUGGGUACGUGCUACAGUGGUGAACAGAUGAAUAUGUAAUUGGUCUAAGUAUUAAACUAGAGUGCUACCGUGGUUCGCAGUCCCGAAGUGGACGAGUCAACAAACUGACGUCAGUUUUUCGCGCGUCUGUCCUGUUAUUGAUCAUGAAUUUUGUCAUAAGGUCGUCAAAGUAGCUGUGGAUCCGCAGACCACUUUGACAAUGCUAUGACGAAAUUCAUUACCAAUAACUAAUUGAUCUAAACAUUAAACUGGAGUGCUACCGCAGUCCGCAGUCCCGAAGUGGAUGAAUUAACCAAUUGAUGUCAGUGUUUCAUGCGUCUGUGCUGUUAUUGAUCAUGAAUUUCAUCAUAACAUUGUCAAAGCAGCUGUGGAUCCAUAGACUACUUUGACAAUAUUAUGACGAAAUUUAUUGUCAAUAGCAGGACAGCCAUAUGAAAAAGUGAGGUCAAUUCGUUUUUUUACGAUAACAACAUCGCAUAAUUAUCAAUUCAUAUUUAUGUCUGCGUAUUGACAAUGAAAAUUAGCCAAUGAGUAUGCAAGAAUUUUUGCAGUUAUCGAAGAAUAAGUAAUUGAUCUAAGUAUUAAACUGAGUGCUAAUGCAGUCCACAGUCCCAUAGUGGGUGAAUAAGUAAUUGAUGUAAGCAGUUCGCAUAGUAUGUUGGUUAACUAUAAUUAGCCUGACGGGUAGUCAGCAUUCAUUUUUCAACAGCCAAACGAAAAUGCUCCCCGGGUCCCCUCAUGCCUUAUUUGUCAAACCCCCUAAGAGCUGCAUUGUUUCCAUCAACCAAUCAAAAUCAAGUUAGUUGUGUUUACAAAAUUUUUAAAAACGGCUAAGUGUGAGCAGCAGUUGAGCAGUGUGCUAAUCUAUCUUUAUUUGUAUCUAUGCCCAAAAAGCGACCUAUGCGGAAGGGAUGACUUCAUCAUGGAAAUGGAACUAGACAUGUUAUGUGUUACAGUAUACUUAAAGUCCCAGUUCGACGAAAAUUUACAUCAUUUUUUCCCCACAUUUUUUGCACAGAAUAGCCAAUUUUAGUGUAAAACAUUCUCCGAUGUAAAGAAAAUUGAAUAUAAUGACUGUUAAGAUAAAAAAAAAAUUGCUAUAAACUUAAGAUUUUUUUGUCCGCCAUUGCACGAAACCGGUUGCAGUUGAGCCUACAUGAGUAUAGGCUACUUGGAGCCUCUCAUUUUAUUUCUUUUUACAUGCACUAAGUAAGCAUCUUCCCUGCAUCUUCUUGUCCAUUUUGUAUUCAUCGCGGCCAUUUUGUUAUUGUCAACAAACCCAAGCUAUGUCCAGAUAAGGAAAUGGAUGGAUGAGUAAAGUUAGACUGGGAUUGAAAGGUUUACACAUGAAAAGAAAUAAAACAAAACAUCUAUGUCUUGGUUGACCUUUAUUAUGGUGUUGUUUGCCAACUUUACAGAAGGAUCAGCGAGGAUAAUGUUCGAUCUUAACUGAGUUUUUGCCCGUAAAAACAACAUUGCUAAAAAUAUCACUAAAUGCUCACUUUGGCUUUUUGUCACUACUUUGCAAUGCUCACGUCCUCCAGCCAAGUUUCUGCCACAUUCGCUGAACAGUUUUCGACUAUACUUCAGUGUAAAAUCUCACUGAAAGUAUUCGUGUAAAAACAAGAGCCGAAAGUUUGGUUGCAUUUUUUUAUCGAUGGCGUUAAAAGUGCUUGGCAAGCUGAUUGCUUCUUCCUUUCCUCAGGCAAUCACACAGACUACCAGUUACUUUGUAUCGUUUCGGAGAAAGACUUCUGGCCUUCAAGUUACAAUACCAUCUUCCCGUAUUUUUAGAGUAACUGGACUCACAUUGUCACCGGGAAAAUUUAAGUUUACUUUUCGUAUUCUCGCAUAAGGUGACAUUUUUAACCUAUUUCAUGAAUUGAAAAUGAGUGUCGCUAAUCUUGUAAACAAGUUCUCGGAAACCUUGUUCUUCUGAAUGAGUUCCAAGAAUGCUUACUGAUGGAACGCUAACAGAAUGGGAACAGAAAAGAACAGAACGGAUAAAGAAUGGAUAUGGAAUGGAUGCGGAACAGAUAUGGAACAGAUAUGGAGUGGAUACGGAACGGGAACGAGAACGCUUGUGGAAUGGAAACAGAACAUGUUCUGUCAAGGUGUUCCCUGUUAGGUUUCUUCUGAUUGGUACUGUAUUGUUACUUUAUUGAGAAAAGCAUUUUAAACCAUUUUAAAUACCACCAUCAUUCACCUGGUACAAUUAUCAAGUCU